rnacentral:lncRNA from 1 species
AUGUAUCCCUUUGAAUUGGUGUCUUUGUAUUCUUUGGGUAAAUACCAAGUAGAGCCAUUGCUGGAUCAUAGGGUAGGUAUAUAUUUUUUAAGGUUUUAUUUAUUUGACAGAGAGGGAACACAAGCAGGGGGAGUGGAAGAGGAAGAAGCAGGCAGGGAGCCUGAUGCAGGGCUCGAUCCCAGGACCCUGGGAUCAGGCCCUGAGCCGAAGGCAGACGCUUAAUGACUGAGCCACCCAGGUGCCCCAAAAUAUACAACUUUCUAAACAACCAGUGAGUAAAAGAAAAAAAAAUAAAAAAUUUAACAAUUGUUUAGAAAGUGGUAUUAGUGAGGGGCGCCUGGGUGGCUCCGUUGGUUGAGUGUCUGACUCUUGGUUUCAGUUUGGGUUGUGAUCUUGGGGUCCUGGGAUUGCGUCUUGCAUUAGGCUCUGCGCUCAGUGCACAGAGUCAGCUUGUCUCUCUCCCUUCCCCUCUGCCCCUCCCACUCUGCCCCUCCUCCCACUCAUGCAGGUGUGUGCACUCUCUGUCUCUAAAAUAAAUAAAUGAAAUCUUAAAUAAAAUGGCAUUAGUGAAAACUCUGAAUAUCAAACGCUAUUGGAUAUGAAAAAUCUGUAUCGGGAUCAAGACUGCUGAGCUUGAAGGUAUCAGCUUUUUUUUUUAACUUUUUUAAAAUUUAAAUUCAAUUAAUUAACAUAUAAUGUAUUAUUGGUUUCAGAGGUAGAGGCCAGUGAUUCAUCAGUCUUACAUAACACCCAGUGCUCAUUACAUCACGCGCCCUCCUUAAUGUCCAUCACCCAGUUACCCCAUCCCCCCCACCCCACUCCCCUCCAGCAACCCUCAGUUUGUUUCCUAUGAUUAAGUGUCUCUUAUGGUUUGUCUACCUCUCUGAUUUCGUCUUGUUUUAUUUUUUCCUCUCUUCCCCUCUGAUCCUCUGUUUUGUUUCUUAAAUUCCACAUGAGUGAGAUCAUAUGAUAAUUGUCUUUCUCUGAUUGACCUAUUUCGCUUAGCGUAAUACCCUCUAGUUCCAUCCACA